ACGGAACCUACUUCCUGCAGGGUUUUCCUGGAAGCCUGCGGGUCCUUGCAGGCUCUCUACAUGGUGGACCGGCCCACAGCCCCCGUCGCCCUGGGCGUCCAGCUGGGGACAGAGGCCACCAAGCCAGGCCCUCCCAGAAUCCGGCUCCUCACGUCAUCAGCAAAGUAAACGGGCAGCCUCGGGAAAGCGCCGCUGGAGGCUGUCGCUCGGGGAGGGCAGAGGAAGAAAGAUCGUCCCUGCAGUGCCCGAGGCACCCUCGGACUGGGUGGCCGCCUCCACGGAGCCUCUGCUGGGUGACCAGCAUCCCCCAGACCACGAGGGUCCCCAGGUAGGAGAGGGGACCGAUGCCCACUUGUGAACCACAUCGCCAAAGGAAGAUCUGCCCUGGAAUAGGGGGAUGUCGCCAUUUCUGCUCUCGGAUAUGUGAGUUAUUUCAGAAAGAGGAGGUAAGUGAAGCAACGAUGGAAUCUAGGCGAUUUUUUUUUUUCAGAGGUUAUGAGGAUUGAACCCAUGACCUCAAACCUGGGAGGCAGGUGCUCGACCAUAGAGGUACAUCUGCUUCCCUAGAUAAUUUUUAAAAUAGGAUCUAGG
rnacentral:lncRNA from 1 species